GCAUAUUCUGAGAGCAGGAAANCGAGGGGAUCGCAAGACCUUGCGCUGAUUGAGCGGCCGAUAUCAGAUUAGCUAGUUGGUGAGGUAAAGGCUCACCAAGGCGACGAUCUGUAGCGGGUCUGAGAGGAUGAUCCGCCACACUGGAACUGANACACGGUCCAGACUCCUACGGGAGGCAGCAGUGGGGAAUUUUUGGACAAUGGGCGCAAGCCUGAUCCAGCCAUGCCGCGUGAGUGAAGAAGGCCUUCGGGUUGUAAAGCUCUUUCGGCCGGGAAGAAAUCGCACAGGUUAAUACCCUGUGUGGAUGACGGUACCGGAAUAAGAAGCACCGGCUAACUACGUG
rnacentral:rRNA from 1 species